CCCCAGCGCCACAAGUGGGAACCACGCUUAUUGGGUCUAAAGCAUCCGUAGCCGGUUUGGCAAAUGCCCUGUGAAAUCGUUGCGCUCAACGUAACGGCGUGCAGGGUAGACUACCAAACUAGAGACCAGGGGAAGCAGACGGUAUUCCUGAGGGAGCGGUAAAAUGCGAUAAUCUCAGGAGGACCACCGAUGGCGAAGGCAGUCUGCUAACAUGGAUCUGACGGUGAGGGAUGAAAGCUAGGGGAGCGAU
rnacentral:rRNA from 1 species